rnacentral:rRNA from 1 species
CCUACGGGUGGCAGCAGUGAGGAAUAUUGGUCAAUGGACGAGAGUCUGAACCAGCCAAGUAGCGUGAAGGAUGACUGCCCUAUGGGUUGUAAACUUCUUUUAUAAAGGAAUAAAACGAGGCACGUGUGCCUUUUUGCAUGUACUUUAUGAAUAAGGAUCGGCUAACUCCGUGCCAGCAGCCGCGGUAAUACGGAGGAUCCGAGCGUUAUCCGGAUUUAUUGGGUUUAAAGGGAGCGUAGAUGGGUUGUUAAGUCAGUUGUGAAAGUUUGCGGCUCAACCGUAAAAUUGCAAUUGAUACUGGCAGUCGUGAGUACAGAUGAGGUAGGCGGAAUUCGUGGUGUAGCGGUGAAAUGCUUAGAUAUCACGAAGAACCCCGAUUGCGAAGGCAGCUUACUAAACUGUGACUGACAUUGAUGCUCGAAAGUGUGGGUAUCAAACAGGAUUAGAUACCCUAGUAGUC